GACGAACGCUGGCGGCGUGCUUAACACAUGCAAGUCGAACGGUGAAAGAAGAGCUUGCUCUUCUGGAUCAGUGGCGAACGGGUGAGUAACACGUGAGUAACCUGCCCCAGACUCUGGGAUAAGCGCUGGAAACGCCGUCUCAUACCGGAUACGAGACAUAGCUGCAUGGCUACUGUCUGUGAAGUUUUUCGGUCUGGGCUGGACUCGCGGCCUAUCAGCUUGUUGGUGAGGUAUCGGCUCACCAAGGCAACGACGGGUAGCCGGCCUGAGAGGGCGACCGGCGACACUGGGACUGAGAGACGGCCCAGACUGCUACGGGAGGCAGCAGUGGGGAAUAUUGCACAAUGGGCGAAAGCCUGAUGCAGCGACGCCGCGUGAGGGAUGACGGCCUUCGGGUUGUAAACCUCUGUCAGCAGGGAAGAAGCGAAAGUGACGGUACCUGCAGAAGAAGCACCGGCUAACUACGUG
rnacentral:rRNA from 1 species